ACAUGUGUUCAUUAAUGUACUGUGCCUCUUCUAAAUACGUGUUUUUAUUGAUUUUAUUGCAUUAAUCCGUCCUUCCCUGGUUUGAUUGACAGCUCCCUGCAGGCUGCAGGGGGAGGAGUUUGUAAGUUUUACUUACGACACACACAGUCUGCAGACACAGAGACAAAACCACAGCAACACGACUCGACUGUGUGUGUUCUAUGUUUUCUAUUGUGCAGCAGCCACCACCAAACUGAAACCUCCACAGUCCAGAAAAAGAAAUGACACAGCAGGCAGGAAAAGUCUUCAUUUUUAAGGAUUCAAGCUCUAAAUGUAACGACAUUCAACAAACAAUCACAGAGGACUUGAGUCUCCCGAGCACAGAGGACCCAGCAGAAUGUGACUGGGUCAUUGUGUUUUGUCUGAUUAGAGAUCGAAGAUCAGACGUACAAUUUGCCCUUGAGCAGUUACCAGAACCGGCAAAAACAAAACCAGUUAUUUUAGUGGCGAUUCAUCACACGUGGAAAAAAAACGACCCAGACAUUGAAUAUUGGAGCAUCAAACAUGAGAGAAUUGUUCUGACUGUUUCUGUUCUUUUCCAUGAAGAUAAAGGACUAUUUAGAGAUGAAAAAUAUCACGGGGCCAUGCAGAAUAUAAAGGACAUGUGUAAUUACAUGACUGAAAACAAAUCACUUGUAAAUGAUUUAGAAAAGCUCAAACAGUUUGGAUCAUCAUUAAUUAAGAGUCGUUCAAAGAGAAGUGCUGUCAGCUGGUGCUCCUUAGUACGUUAUCUUCCAUGUAUCUUUAUAGUUAUGUUUGUUUUGUGGCGUGGUUGGUCGUAUUAUAAUUUGUCCACCUAUCUGUGGUAUGCUGUCCCGUCCUGCUCACUCUCAACAUCCACCACCUCACCCUCCACGCCCUCUUAGCCCCACUGCAUUAGCUGCCCACAAGAUGCCUGUUAGCUGGAGUUAGUCUUCUGUGUUUGACCUGGUGGGACCUGCUGUCCUGUUUUGGCCUUUUGUUUGGUAACGUUAGUUUGGGGAUGUUUUUUCCUUUAGGCUCGUGAUGUUGACACCAGGUUCUAUGGCCCUGUCCUGUUUUGGCCCGGUGCUGCAUCCUUUUGUUCUGUUUGUUUGACUCUUCUGUUGUUACUUUGAUUUUGGUUGCAGGAGGGUUUUUUGGGGCAUUUUUACUGUAAAUUAAAGAUAACUUAAAUAAACCUAUUUAACUUUUGUAA